UACGGAGGGGGCUAGCGUUGUUCGGAAUCACUGGGCGUAAAGCGCAUGCAGGCGGAUCGCUAAGUCGGGGGUGAAAUCCCAAGGCUCAACCUUGGAACUGCCUCCGAUACUGACGAUCUUGAGUCCGGGAGAGGUGAGUGGAACUGCGAGUGUAGAGGUGAAAUUCGUAGAUAUUCGCAAGAACACCAGUGGCGAAGGCGGCUCACUGGCCCGGUACUGACGCUGAGAUGCGAAAGCGUGGGGAGCAAACAGG
rnacentral:misc_RNA from 1 species